rnacentral:rRNA from 1 species
CCCUUAGAUGUUCUGGGCAGCACGCGCGCUACAAUGGUCUUCGCAAACGGAUGCAUUCUCGAAGGAGAAUGCCAAUCUUGGAAUCUAUGCCUUGGUCGGGACAGUUGCUUGCAAUUUUUCGACUCGAACCAGGAAUUCCUUGUAAUCGUGAUUCAUCACAUCACGAUGAAUACGUCCCUGCCCUUUGUACACACCGCCCGUCGCUCCUACCGAUCGAAGAGUUAGGUGAAUUGUUUUGAUCGUUAAGAUUUGACUAUGGUCAACUCUCGUUGUGAAAUUCUGUGAAUCUGACUGUUUAGAGGAAGGAAAAGUCGUAACA